UUUAAUUAAUUAAAUUUAAUUAAAAAACGAAAUACAUUAUUAAUUUCCAAAAAUAAUAACCAAUCAAAAUCAACAUAUAAGAUUUGAUAUCUAAAUUUUAAUUAAUUUAAUUUAAUUAGAAAAACGAAAUACAUUAUUAAUUUCCAAAAAAGUAACCAAUUAAAAUCAACAAAUUAUAUUUGAUAUCUAAAUUAUCAUAUUAAUUUUUUAUUAAUUAUUAUAGUUCAUUUCUCAUCUUUAUAUGAUUCUAUUUUUGCGGAAAAAUAAUAUCAUCAUUAUAAAAAAAUAAUUAGAGUUUUUUCCCAUAUGUCAUAAUUUGAAUUUUUAAAAACAAAUAUAAACUGUUCAAUACAUAAAAAAAUAUUAUAACGGAUAAAAAAUAGAUUUAAGAAAAUUUUCUACUGAGUAACGGGUCAUAAUUUGAAAUAUUUAUAUUCAAUUUCAUACAUAUUAUAUUGAAAAUUUAUAAUCUUAUAUACUACAAUAAUUAAUAACAUAUUAGAUGUGAUUCAAUUUUUAAUACAAGUUGAAAAUCCUAGAAUUGCAUGUUUAGAUCGAUAUUAAUACAAGAUGGUAUACUACAGGUGAAACUCUUAAAUUAACAAUCAAACUACAAGUGUAUAAUCUUAAACACUAAACAAUAUAGAUAAUAUCAACAAAACAUAUACAACUCACAGUUUACUAUACAUUUAAAAUCAAAUAAAAUAAUAUCAAAUAUUUUUAAAUCAUCUUUAUAAUA
rnacentral:sRNA from 1 species